rnacentral:lncRNA from 1 species
CUUAAACCAGAUUGUCAGGGCGCAGCCGGGGCCGGAGGCAGCCGCCGGGCCAGAGGAUGCGGCUGCCCGCCUCGGAUCCUCCCCCGGCCAGCUAGCGAGGAACAUCUCCGGGAACCCGGACUUUUUAAACAGCCGAUCCAGGUGACUUGGGCAACUCGCAGCGAGGAGAAAAAGAGAAGAAGAGAAGAAAAGAAAAAAAAUAAGCAAAAUAAAAGCAAAUACAACGAAAUCGCAGAAAUUAUUCCGCCCGGUUUCCGAAGAGACUGCGGGCGCCGCGGGCUGGCACCGAGCGGCGGGAGCAGCGCGGCCGCUCUCCGCACAGCCCGACGGCGGGCACCGGAGCCCGGCCCGGCUCCCCGGCACCCCUCGGCUGCACUCCGCCUCCCGGACUGGAUCUUCUCCCGCCCCGAGCCGGGAAGGCUGGCCCAGCGCCGAGAGCCGUGGGGACACCAACCUGCAAGAAACUCAGACGGCACCGCGGCACUUCCGAGGGGCAGGAGAGCGGCAGCACAGCCCCGGGCCCGCAGCACUUUCGGGGGAGCCCUCGGAGCCCCGGCCCCUCUGGACGAGCCCAAGGCUACGCGGGAGCGGCCCCCCCCGCGACGGCAGCGUGAACGGGGCUCCGCGGGACCGGGACCCCGACGGGCGCCCCGAAACACAGCGGCACACACGAGUUACGGAGGGAACUUUUUCCUAAAAAGGGAUUUUUUUUAAAGCUUCCGUCCUUAAGCCACCGUGUGUAGACAUAUUACCCCGAUUACUGUAACUGCCUGCGAGCCGGGGAGUAAUAUUUAUCUAUUUAGAUAGGAAGGGUCGCGAUGGAAAAAAUAUCCAGCCUGGAAAUAUACAUCGUCUUUUCCUUUAACCCCUCCUCAUUCAUCCAGCCGAUCCCCCACCCCCUCCGUACACAAACCUACUCAAUUUAUAGAGAAGCCUUUACUAUCCAGAACAGUUUCUAGAAGAAGGGAGGACUCCAGAUGAAAUAAUCCCCCCCUCCUACACACAUGUACACACACACGCACACACACACACACACACACACACAUGCACGUAAGAUACACUUCCCCCCGGGCGUGCUCAGGAAAGCAAAUUAAAUAGUUAAAGGCUUCGAUUUCUCUCUCUCUCCCUUUUGUUACCCAAUUUUGGAACAUUUAAGGAUGGGUGUGUGUAUUGUAUUCAAUAAUAAAAGCUAUAGGGCCGCCA